rnacentral:tRNA from 1 species
AUUUAAAUAGUUUAAUAAAAAUAAUAACUUGUGGCGUUAUAGAUGUAUAGUAUACUUUGAAUA